rnacentral:sRNA from 2 species
AAAAAAGCUGUCUAGGGUUCCGUUGAUAGAUGUAAAAUAAUCGGUCAAGACUGGUCCAAGAGAGAGCGUAUAGAAUUUACUUUUUGUAUCUUCUAUAUACACGGAAGGAUAAAAGCCUGGGAGAU